ensembl:lncRNA
UUUUAAUAAACAAAUUGUCAAGAAAAAAAUACCAGCACAGUACUAACACAGUAAAAAUAAAUACUAGCAAUUUUUUGGAUAAAAAAACGGUAGCCCUUUUAUAUUUGAAGACUUUCACACGGUCAAAACACUGACACCUCAUGCUACACGUGGUUGCUCUCUGUUUUUAUCUCUGCUACAUAUCUCUUCUUUUGUUGCUAGAUAACUCAUGUUUCUUUUUGAGUGAAAUCUGCUCUUACGUGCCCGGUUUUCAUCACAACCACACCAUUCAUGUAUAACAUCUCCAAACAUGUAUUAGUAAAUGAAACAACAACACGUCUUCAUCAGUGCACUUUGACCUUGACCCGUCGGCUCUAAAGCAUGCAAAUCAAGGAUCCUACGGGUCUUAUGUACAGGAGUGAGCCUUCUCUCUCAUCCAAUGGGGAGUCACACCCCGCUGCUACUCGCCUCGAUGGAGGGGCGAGGUCAUGAGACUUAGAGGGGAUGGACCAGGGGAUAGAUGGUGUCUCCAGGCUGACAGCAGAGGGGAUGGAUCAGGGGAUAGAUGGUGUCUCCAGGCUGACAGCAGAGGGGAUGGACCAGGGGAUAGAUGGUGUCUCCAGGCUGGACAGCAAAGUGUUUGAUAAGCUAAAAUCGACAAAUGACAGUGUCUACUCUAUCUAGUUCUACUUUUUUUCAGUCAGAAAGUCUUAACUGAACAACAGUACAACAUCUGAGCUCCGGAUCAUGUGAUAUCUCCUGCUCCAUCUAUCCAUGUGGUGGUGUCUCCUUCUCCAUCCCUCCAUGUGGUGGUGUCUCCUGGUCCAUCCCUCCAUGUGGUGGUGUCUCCUGGUCCAUCCCUCCAUGUGGUGGUGUCUCCUGGUCCAUCCCUCCAUGUGGUGGUGUCUCCUCCAUCCCUCCAUG